AACGUAAAUGAGGGUAUAAAUUGAUGCGAAGAUGUGAUAAUUAU
rnacentral:guide_RNA from 1 species